rnacentral:rRNA from 1 species
UGGGGAAUAUUGCACAAUGGGCGCAAGCCUGAUGCAGCCAUGCCGCGUGUAUGAAGAAGGCCUUCGGGUUGUAAAGUACUUUCAGCGGGGAGGAAGGGAGUAAAGUUAAUACCUUUGCUCAUUGACGUUACCCGCAGAAGAAGCACCGGCUAACUCCGUGCCAGCAGCCGCGGUAAUACGGAGGGUGCAAGCGUUAAUCGGAAUUACUGGGCGUAAAGCGCACGCAGGCGGUUUGUUAAGUCAGAUGUGAAAUCCCCGGGCUCAACCUGGGAACUGCAUCUGAUACUGGCAAGCUUGAGUCUCGUAGAGGGGGGUAGAAUUCCAGGUGUAGCGGUGAAAUGCGUAGAGAUCUGGAGGAAUACCGGUGGCGAAGGCGGCCCCCUGGACGAAGACUGACGCUUAGGUGCGAAAGCGUGGGGAGCAAACAGG